rnacentral:snRNA from 1 species
GGAUGUGAGGGCGAUCUGGCUGCGACAUCUGUCACCCCAUUGAUCGCCAGGGUUGAUUCGGCUGAUCUGGCUGGCUAGGCGGGUGUCCCCUUCCUCCCUCACCGCUCCAUGUGCGUCCCUCCCGAAGCUGCGCGCUCGGUCGAAGAGGACGACCUUCCCCGAUAGAGGAGCACCGGUCUUCGGUCAAGGGUAUACGAGUAGCUGCGCUCCCCUGCUAGAACCUCCAAACAAGCUCUCAAGAGAAAAAAAUUGUUUUGGCACUGUUUUGGAGGCUCCCGUUCAGACUGGCUCUGUUGUUCUUGGCCUGUGGCGAGCCACAUGUC